AACGAACGCUGGCGGCAGGCCUAACACAUGCAAGUCGAACGCACCGCAAGGUGAGUGGCGCACGGGUGAGUAACACGUGGGAAUGUACCCUUUGGUUCGGAAUAACGUUUGGAAACGAACGCUAAUACCGGAUGAGCCCUGUGGGGGAAAGAUUUAUCGCCAAAGGAGCAGCCCGCGUCUGAUUAGCUAGUUGGUGGGGUAAAGGCCUACCAAGGCGACGAUCAGUAGCUGGUCUGAGAGGAUGAUCAGCCACACUGGGACUGAGACACGGCCCAGACUCCUACGGGAGGCAGCAGUGGGGAAUAUUGGACAAUGGGCGCAAGCCUGAUCCAGCCAUGCCGCGUGAGUGAUGAAGGCCUUCGGGUUGUAAAGCUCUUUCGCACACGACGAUGAUGACGGUAGUGUGAGAAGAAGCCCCGGCUAACUUCGUGCCAGCCGCCGCCGUAAUAC
rnacentral:rRNA from 1 species